rnacentral:rRNA from 1 species
UUGGGCCGGUUACUCCAGUUGGACCCGUUGCUCCUGUACCCGUUCCCAUGCCGAACACGGAAGUUAAGCUCUUCAGCGCCGAUGGUAGUUGGGGGCUUCCCCCUGUGAGAGUAGGACGCCGCCAAGC